ensembl:lncRNA
GUCAGCAUUUUGUCAUAUUUGAAAAUUUAAAUCUAAAUUAUUCUGUUUCUUAAUGUAUUUUCUUUAAAAUACACUGUGUGUGUGUGUGUGUGUGUGUGUGUGUGUGUGUGUGACUGAGAGAGAGAGAGAGGAGUGAGUUAAGGUGAUGUAGGGAGUGAUUUAUGUGUAUAGAUGUUUUUGUUACAGUUUUACCCUACCAUGACCGUCCCCUUCUUUUGCCCUACUAUUAUUCCGAUUUCAGUUUAUUUCCCACAGUGUUUUUAAACUGUUGCCUUAUGAUUCCAAGCGCUGUCACUAAUCUUUGCAUUUCAUUAUUAUCUAAUAACACUUGUUUAAUCAGCUACCAUCUCUCUUAUGGAAUUUUUAAUGUCUGCAGCCUCAGAUCAGCACAGCCCCGCCCUCCAGCUCUAUCAGCAGCAACAUUGUUCCCAUCAGGUGAAACAAAGUAUGUUUGCUCUACAUUGUCCCCGCCUGAUGACAGUGAUAUAGUUUGAUGUGAUUCCAUAUUAGAUUCUUGAUGAAUGUGUGUUGUUGUUGUUCAGCCUGGUUCUAUGUGCCCCUUUUUAACUUUGAGCACCCGCCCUGUCACAGCCCUUUCCUUUGUUUGACUUAAUCACGUGAAAAAUAAAAAGUCCAAGAGUGUACAACACACUGCUUCCUCUUUUUUUCUUCCUUUUUUCUAGCAAAUCAGCAUCCUUUGCUGUAAACAGUUCUAUAACAGCUUUUAGCGGCACAAGACAAAAUGCUGACAGACCCAUGUGGUUCCAUGUGCUUGUAGGUACUCAGACUAAUGCAGCAAACAGCUGAGGUGUGAAAGGUGUUGUACUGAUACUGUACUGAUGUAGUGAUGAAAACUGCAGAGCAUCUUGUUUCCCUGAGAUGACACCUUGUGUAAGCUCUCACAGGGCGUAACCCUGCUGUCUAAUCUAGAGCAGUGGAGGCGUGUUCUUUAUAGAGACGAAUCACACUUCUCCAUCUGCCAAUCCGACGGAUGAGUCUGGAUUCGGUGGCUCCACACUGGGUGAGACCUCCAGAAAUUAAGAAUUCCACAAUUUUAACAGAAACUCACCUUCUGCAACAUCACUUCAAACUCUCUGCAUGAAGAUGUUGAUGAGGAUUUGCUCAAACCACAUCUGUAUCGAGGCCACAGGCCUGGGAGCUUGAGGGUCCUGCACAGUAUCUUAACUGUUCCUAUGACUGCGCUCUUCUGGACAGAGAUCUCCGAUGUUGUUCCCGGGAUCUGCUGGAGCCACUCACCUAGUUUGGGAGUCACUGCACCGAGUGCUCCAGUUACCACUGGGACCAUUCUUACCUUCACAUCUUAGUCGGAACUGAGGGGAUCGAACUACCAGAAGGCAACAUUGCAGACAUAGAAGACAGCUACAAGUACCUGGGGAUCCCACAGGCAAAUGGGAACCAUGAAGAGGCCGCUAGAAAAGCUGCAACCACCUCAAGCAAGUCCUGAGGAGUCAGCUGACCGGUAAGAAAAAGAUCCUACGCCCUGCCCGUGAUCAGGUACCAUAAAAGGACAAAGGAGGAGAUAGAAGCCACUGGCAUCAAGACCAGGAAGCUCCUGACCAUGCAUAUAGGGUUUCACCCCAAGUCCAGCACCCUGAGGCUAAGAGGAUGGAAGGUGGUCACAAGGUGGUGAGCGUCAGCACCACAGUCACAAUCUAUAUAUUGUCUCCUCCUUCACCCAGCAGAAGGUUACAAAAAAUUAUUACCAAUACUCCUCCAUCAACCAGGCUGACAUCUUUGGUGUUCAGUCUAACCUAUAAAUAUGUUGGUGAUAUGGAUCAGCUGGCAUGGUUCUGGGUCUUUGACUCAGUUGUGUGCUGUUGGACUUUUAAGUUCAUGUUGUGUAUUUACUUGAUGUUUGCUGCGUUUUCCUUCUCAAUCUUUCCUCCGAGCUUAGUUUAGUUACAUGUCUGUUUCCAUAUUUAGUUCUUUCACUUCCCUUAUCACCUCUGUAAGUUUGCAUCU